rnacentral:rRNA from 1 species
AUUGAACGCUGGCGGCAUGCCUAACACAUGCAAGUCGAACGGCAGCACGGCAGUAGCAAUACUGUGGGUGGCGAGUGGCGGACGGGUGAGGAAUACGUCGGAAUCUGCCCAGUCGUGGGGGAUAACUAGCCGAAAGGUUAGCUAAUACCGCAUACGACCGAGAGGUGAAAGCGGGGGACCGCAAGGCCUCGCGCGAUUGGAUGAGCCGACGUCGGAUUAGCUAGUUGGUGGGGUAAAGGCCCACCAAGGCGACGAUCCGUAGCUGGUCUGAGAGGAUGAUCAGCCACACUGGAACUGAGACACGGUCCAGACUCCUACGGGAGGCAGCAGUGGGGAAUAUUGGACAAUGGGCGCAAGCCUGAUCCAGCAAUGCCGCGUGUGUGAAGAAGGCCUCG